AAGACCUUGCACUUUUGGAGCGGCCGAUGUCUGAUUAGCUAGUUGGUGGGGUAAUGGCCUACCAAAGCUUCGAUCAGUAGCUGGUCUGAGAGGACGGCCAGCCACACUGGGACUGAGACACGGCCCAGACUCCUACGGGAGGCAGCAGUGGGGAAUUUUGGACAAUGGGCGCAAGCCUGAUCCAGCCAUGCCGCGUGAGUGAAGAAGGCCUUCGGGUUGUAAAGCUCUUUCAGCCGGGAAGAAAAGGUUGCGACUAAUAAUCGCAAUUCAUGACGGUACCGAAAGAAGAAGCACCGGCUAACUACGUGCCAGCAGCCGCGGUAAUACGUAGGGUGCGAGCGUUAAUCGGAAUUACUGGGCGUAAAGGGUGCGCAGGCGGUUUUGUAAGUCAGAUGUGAAAUCCCCGGCUUAACCUGGGAACU
rnacentral:rRNA from 1 species